UUGCUUGAUCACGAAUCUUCGGUGGAGGUAGGUUAUGGUUAUUUUAUGCUAUUCGUAGUAAACUCUUAAUAGCGAAUGAUAUGUAUUGAUAGUAUUGUAAACCCUUCUAUAUGCUUAAUUGUAUGCUUGCAUGAAUGUGAUUAUGAAAUUGUGAUAUAAUAAGCAUGAUGAAGCUAUUGAAUCCUAAAUCUUGAAAAGAAACCCUAAUCUACUUUGUUAAUGAUGAUG
rnacentral:lncRNA from 1 species